rnacentral:rRNA from 1 species
UACGGAGGGUGCAAGCGUUGCUCGGAAUCACUGGGCGUAAAGCGUCCGCAGGCGGCGAGGAAAGUCGGGUGUGAAAGCCCAGGGCUCAACCCUGGAACUGCAUUCGAAACUAUCUUGCUUGAGUACGGGAGAGGGAAGUGGAAUUCCUGGUGUAGAGGUGAAAUUCGUAGAUAUCAGGAGGAACACCAGUGGCGAAAGCGACUUCCUGGCCCGAUACUGACGCUCAUGGACGAAAGCGUGGGGAGCAAACAGG